CCGGAGCUUGCUCCACCGGAAAAAGAGGAGUGGCGAACGGGUGAGUAACACGUGGGUAACCUGCCCAUCAGAAGGGGAUAACACUUGGAAACAGGUGCUAAUACCGUAUAACAAUCAAAACCGCAUGGUUUUGAUUUGAAAGGCGCUUUCGGGUGUCGCUGAUGGAUGGACCCGCGGUGCAUUAGCUAGUUGGUGAGGUAACGGCUCACCAAGGCCACGAUGCAUAGCCGACCUGAGAGGGUGAUCGGCCACAUUGGGACUGAGACACGGCCCAAACUCCUACGGGAGGCAGCAGUAGGGAAUCUUCGGCAAUGGACGAAAGUCUGACCGAGCAACGCCGCGUGAGUGAAGAAGGUUUUCGGAUCGUAAAACUCUGUUGUUAGAGAAGAACAAGGAUGAGAGUAACUGUUCAUCCCUUGACGGUAUCUAACCAGAAAGCCACGGCUAACUACGUGCCAGCAGCCGCGGUAAUACGUAGGUGGCAAGCGUUGUCCGGAUUUAUUGGGCGUA
rnacentral:rRNA from 1 species